rnacentral:lncRNA from 1 species
AUACUGAUUACGUGUAACCUCAUGGGCCAUAAUGCAUUUUUUUCCUUUGAAAAUGCAUAUCACUGUAAUACCGCAGUCUACUUGAACUUACAAUAGUAAAGAAACCUCUUACCACCAAAACAACUGCUCGCACAGUUGCGCUUGAACCUGUGAACAAGAGCUUACAUGUAAACCUCUUGGUUUGCAAGUUGCAACACAACCAUGGAGCAGGUUCAUGGCUAGGCUACUGUUACAUGGUGCACCGAAGCUGGCACGUAAUUGCUAGUGAAGCGAGCCAUGAGAAAAGGGUCCUCGCUCCUGACGGCGUCUCCAUGUCCCGUGCCCCAAAGAAUACAGUGACAGAAGGAGGUGUCUGAGAAAUCUCAAAGCUGUAUCUUGACUAGCAAUGGUGCCUUGUCCAGAAUGUUGA